AGAGCGAACGCUGGCGGCAGGCCUAAUACAUGCAAGUCGAACGGAUCCUUCGGGAUUAGUGGCGGACGGGUGAGUAACACGUGGGAACGUGCCCUUGGUUCGGAACAACUCAGGGAAACUUGAGCUAAUACCGAAUGUGCCCUUCGGGGAAAGAUUUAUCGCCAUUGGAGCGGCCCGCGUCUGAUUAGCUAGUUGGUGAGGUAAAGGCUCACCAAGGCGACGAUCAGUAGCUGGUCUGAGAGGAUGAUCAGCCACACUGGGACUGAGACACGGCCCAGACUCCUACGGGAGGCAGCAGUAGGGAAUCUUGCGCAAUGGGCGAAAGCCUGACGCAGCCAUGCCGCGUGAAUGAUGAAGGUCUUAGGAUUGUAAAAUUCUUUCAGCGGGACGAUAAUGACGGUACCCGCAGAAGAAGCCCGGCUAACUUCGUGCCAGCAGCCGC
rnacentral:rRNA from 1 species